rnacentral:rRNA from 1 species
CCUACGGGACGCACCAGUGGGGAAUAUUGCACAACGGGCGCAAGCCUGAUGCAGCCAUGCCGCGUGUAUGAAGAAGGCCUUAGGGUUGUAAAGUACUUUCAGUUGGGAGGAAGGCGUUGAUGCUAAUAUCAUCAACGAUUGACGUUACCAGCAGAAGAAGCACCGGCUAACUCCGUGCCAGCAGCCGCGGUAAUACGGAGGGUGCAAGCGUUAAUCGGAAUUACUGGGCGUAAAGCGCACGCAGGCGGUUGAUUAAGUUAGAUGUGAAAUCCCCGGGCUUAACCUGGGAAUGGCAUCUAAGACUGGUCAGCUAGAGUCUUGUAGAGGGGGGUAGAAUUCCAUGUGUAGCGGUGAAAUGCGUAGAGAUGUGGAGGAAUACCGGUGGCGAAGGCGGCCCCCUGACGAAGACUGGCGCUCAGGUGCGAAAGCGUGGGGAGCAAACAGGAUUAGAUACCCGUGUAGUC